AAAUUCAUAUAUUCGUUUUUUCAGAGAGCAAACGAGCUAGCAAGAAAUUAAGAAACCAUGGGGAGCACUAGCAGCAUUGCCACAAGAUGGACGCUUCUUAGCGGUGAAGAUAACUGGAACAACCUCUUGGAUGAUCUAGACAAUGAUCUCCGACGAUACAUAAUCCACUACGGAGAGAUGGCACAAGCUACUUAUGACAAUUUCAUCUCCUCAAAGGACUCAAAGUUCCAAGGAAGCUACCGAUACGCGAGGAAGAACCUCUUCUCAAGAGUCGGCCUAGAGCAAGGGAAUCCCUUCAAGUACACUGCGACCAAAUAUUUUUAUGCAAUGUCAAAAACUCCAGUUUUUGGUGCAUGGAAAGAUUCCAACUGGAUGGGGUAUGUUGCAGUGGCCACAGAUGAAGGGAAGGCUGCUUUGGGGAGGAGAGAUAUUGUGAUUGCUUGGAGAGGAACAAUCGAGAUUCUGGAAUGGGUUAAUGAUUUUGAAUUUAUUCCAUUCUCGGCUUCAAAAAUUCUUGGAAAGGAACAUGACCCUAAGGUGCAUCAAGGAUGGCACUCUAUCUACACUUCAAGUGACCCAAAUUCAAAGUUUAACAAGACUAGUGCCAGAGAACAGGUCCUCGGUGAAGUUAGAAAACUAGUGGAAGAAUACAAGAAUGAAGAGAUAAGCAUAACCGUAGUGGGCCACAGCUUGGGAGCAGCCGUUGCAACCCUAAACGCAGUCGACAUAGUUGCUAAUGGAUUGAACAAGGGUUGUCCAGUAACAGCCUUCGUGUUUGCAAGUCCUCGAGUUGGGGAUUCAGGCUUCAAAGAGCUCUUCUCCGAGUUGAAGGAUCUUCGAGUUCUGCGUAUCCGUAAUGCCUUAGAUAUUGUUCCGAAGUAUCCGUUGAUUGGUUACUCAAAGGUGGGGCAAGAACUAAAGAUUGAUACUACCAAGUCAAAAUACUUGAAGAAGCCAGGAAAUCUAGUGACUUGGCACAACUUGGAGGCUUAUAUGCAUGGCAUUGCAGGUACAAAAGGAUUAAAAGGAGGGUUCAACUCAGAGAUUAAGCGGGAUUAUGCCCUGGUUAACAAAUCACUAGAUGCUUUGAAGGAUGAAUAUCAUGUGCCUAGUUCAUGGUGGCUAGUGAAAAACGAUGGAAUGGUUCAGCAAAGGGAUGGCUCUUGGAAGUUGAUGGACCAUGAGUCAGAUGAUGAUUUUUGAAUAUUCUAAUAUAGUCCUGAAAAUAAUAAAUCUUUACCCCAAGUUUAAUUCACGCUAAGUGUAUGUGUUGUAUUGAUUUAUUUAUUUUUUUACUAGGCCCUCUUAGGUGGAGAAUUCAAAUAAAAUGAAAGGAAAAUAGUUAAUAGAAACAGCCAUGUUCAAUUUGGCCUGAUAUGUAAAGUGUGUACGUGAGGUGUGAGAAAGUGAAGAAAAACAAUAAAAUAAGAGCAGAAAUUUUUUCUGCUUGCAAUAAGUUCCAAGCUAUGAUCGAAUGGCCCUUUUUAGUUUGAUUUUCUGAAAUUUGAGCUUGUCGUCGU